GGGUAGUAGAACAAUGGGAUUAUGCUGUCACAAAAACCAAAGAAAAAACAUAAUUUCUUAAAUCAUGGUCUGUCACUGAAUCUGGUUAUAAAACCUUAUCUUGCACUAGAAGGAUCUGUAGCUUUUCCAGCUGAGAAUGGGGUUCAGGAUACCGAAUCAACACAAGAAAAGAGAGAAACUGGGGAUGAAGAAAACUCAGCUAAAUUUCCUGUAGGAAGGAGAGAUUUUGACAUAUUCUCAGACCACUUCUACCAAAACAUAAAUCUGUGAUUGUGAUCUCUGAAAGUCAGUCCUUUUAUCUACUCAAUAACUGAUCUGAUAAUGUCAACUUUUGAAAACAGAUAGUUAUGACUCAAGGCUUUGAGAAUGUAAAGAGACCACCUUCACUUGUUGAGAAAUGGUACGAUUUCACGUUAUCAGUGCAGUUCCGUUCUCGGGGGAAAGCCCAUCCGUACUACCAGGAGACUGGAUCCGCAAAGUAGACACUUGGUCUCAUGAAGCCACUGCUGGGCUCCAGAGAGAAGGGAAAACUAAGAGGUUUUAAAACCCCUACCCUCCUUGGUUUACCUCCAUCAUUAAAAAACAACAAUGACAACGACAACAAAAAACAAAACUAAAACGACUUAUUAUUUAUUAAUUAUGUUGUGGCAGACAAUAUGCUGAACAUUAGACAUAAUUAAAUCUUUUUAAAAAUUGA
rnacentral:lncRNA from 1 species